GAUGAACGCUAGCGGCAGGCUUAACACAUGCAAGUCGAGGGGCAGCACGUCUUCGGAUGGUGGCGACCGGCGCACGGGUGCGUAACGCGUAUAGAACCUACCUUUUACAGGGGAAUAGCCCAGAGAAAUUUGGAUUAAUGCCCCAUAGUAUUAUUGAAUGGCAUCAUUUAAUAAUUAAACAUUUAUGGGUAAAAGAUGGCUAUGCGUUCUAUUAGCUAGUAGAUAAGGUAACGGCUUACCUAGGCAACGAUAGAUAGGGGUCCUGAGAGGGAGAUCCCCCACACUGGUACUGAGACACGGACCAGACUCCUACGGGAGGCAGCAGUGAGGAAUAUUGGACAAUGGGCGAGAGCCUGAUCCAGCCAUGCCGCGUGCAGGAAGACGGUCCUAUGGAUUGUAAACUGCUUUUUAUACAGGAAGAAACACUCGGACGUGUCCGAGCUUGACGGUACUGUAUGAAUAAGCACCGGCUAACUCCGUGCCAGCAGCCG
rnacentral:rRNA from 1 species